GGCCUGAUGGUCUAGAGGUAUGAUUCACCCUUAGGGCUUUGCGUAUGCAAACUUAUGGGUGAGGUCCCGGGUUCGAUUCCCGGUUAGGCCC